rnacentral:lncRNA from 1 species
GAGCCGGAUAAUCCUUUGCUGAUCCUCAAAGACAGCAAGUCCAGACCACGCAUGUGUGGGUCUCAGAAUGCAAAGCAUAUUCCCUGUGCAGAUGCUAGGGGACCGCAGGUGACAAAGAACUGGUGUGGAAUGAUAAUACUUUCAAGGGAAAGAUCAGAAUUCCAGAAGUGAACCAAUCAGCCCA